rnacentral:rRNA from 1 species
ACACCGGCAGCUUAAGUGGUAGCCGCUUUUAUUGGGCCUAAAGCGUCCGUAGCCGGUCUGAUAAGCCUCUGGUGAAAUCCCGCAGCUUAACUGUGGGAAUUGCUGGAGAUACUAUCAUGACUCGAGGUCGGGAGAGGCUGGAGGUACUCCCAGGGUAGGGGUGAAAUCCUGUAAUCCUGGGAGGACCACCUGUGGCGAAGGCGUCCAGCUGGAACGAACCUGACGGUGAGGGACGAAAGCCAGGGGCGCGAACCGGAUUAGAUACCCGGGUAGUCCUGGCCGUAAACGAUGUGGACUUGGUGUUGGGAUGGCUUCGAGCUGCCCCAGUGCCGAAGGGAAGCUGUUAAGUCCACCGCCUGGGAAGUACGGCCGCAAGGCUGAAACUUAAAGGAAUUGGCGGGG